GAUGAAGAACGUAGCGAAAUGCGAUAAGUAGUGUGAAUUGCAGAAUUCAGUGAAUCAUCGAAUCUUUGAACGCACAUUGCGCCUUCUAGUAUUCUGGGAGGCAUGCCUGUUCGAGCGUCAUUAAAAUCACUCAAGCUUAGGUUUACCUAUUGCUUGGUCUUGGAGAUGGAAGCCAAUUUAUUGGAAUCCUCUUCGAAAUUCAAUGGCGAAGACCCUUGCUCUCCCAAGUGUAGUAAUAACUUAUGUCACUGAAGGAAGCGAGAAAUCUUCUGCCGUAACCCCCAUAUUUUCUAUGAUUGACCUCGGAUCAGGUAGGGAUACCCGCUGAACUUAAGCAUAUCAAUAAGCGGAGGA
rnacentral:misc_RNA from 1 species